rnacentral:rRNA from 1 species
GAUGAACGCUGGCGGCGUGCCUAACACAUGCAAGUCGAGCGAACAGACGAGGAGCUUGCUCUUCUGACGUUAGCGGCGGACGGGUGAGUAACACGUGGAUAACCUACCUAUAAGACUGGGAUAACUUCGGGAAACCGGAUCUAAUACCGGAUAACAUGUUGAACCGCAGGGUUCAACAGUGAAAGACGGUUUUGCUGUCACUUAUAGAUGGUUCCGCGCCGCAUUAGCUAGUUGGUAAGGUAACGGCUUACCAAGGCAACGAUGCGUAGCCGACCUGAGAGGGUGAUCAGCCACACUGGAACUGAGACACGGUCCAGACUCCUACGGGAGGCAGCAGUGGGGAAUCUUCCACAAUGGGCGAAAGCCUGACGGAGCAACGCCGCGUGAGUGAAGAAGGUCUUCGGAUCGUAAAACUCUGUUAUUAGGAAAGAACAAAUGUAUAAGUAACUAUGCACGUCUUGACGGUACCUAAUCAGAAAGCCACGGCUAACUACGUG